rnacentral:lncRNA from 1 species
AGAGAAUGCAAUACCUCCAUAACCCAGGGGCUGUUAAAGGCAGUCUGGAAAGGCGGCCAGUUAAAACUAUCUAGUUCAAAAUACUACCUUAAGUUCUACAACAUACAUUCACAUUUAAAACAGUUUUGAUUAGUAACGAUCAGAUUGUAUCUUGUGGACCCUCCGAAAAUGAAGAUGACAGAAAAUCUAACCAUGUUGGACCUUCAAAAUAAUGACCUCCUUCAAUUUCCACCGAAGCAUGGUAAUUGUGUGAAUUUAAGAAUAUUACUACCAGAUAGAAAUCCAUUUCAUAUUCUUUGAGCAGCCAUACUAAUGAAAGGAACACCUGUUAUACUAGAAUAUUUGAGAACCUAAAUUCCC